rnacentral:lncRNA from 1 species
GCUCUCCGCACACCUGGGGGAGGCCCCGCCCCCGGGAGCACAGGUGCGCGCGGGCGGGCGUCGCUGCGGCUUCGGAGCGCACCGUUCCCGGGGCUCUGCCCGGAUCCCCUAGCGCCCCGGAGCCACGCAGGCUUCUGUCUCCCCGCUGCUUUCCUUUGACGAUCGGGCUGCGGGGCUUGGCGAGGGGUGACCCCUGCCCUGGAGAGGACACUGGGUGCCCCAGGAUUUUCAGUAUCAACAUGACCUUCUUUUCCUCUCAAAACUUCUCCAAAACACGGAAGAAAAGAAACAGAAACUUCACAUAAAGUCAGUAAGAGGAUGGAGAAGGGAUAAAUGACUUAACAGAAGAAAGGUCAAAACUAAGGACAUCCAAAGGAAAAUGAAAUAAAAGCUAAAUCAUCCUCAAGCACUUGACAAGAAUCAGGAAACAUAAGUACAGAUAGAAGACAGAGGUGAGCAGAGACAGCAAGUAAACC